rnacentral:rRNA from 1 species
AUUGAACGCUGGCGGCAGGCUUAACACAUGCAAGUCGAGCGGAGAUGAGGUGCUUGCACCUUAUCUUAGCGGCGGACGGGUGAGUAAUGCUUAGGAAUCUGCCUAUUAGUGGGGGACAACAUUCCGAAAGGAAUGCUAAUACCGCAUACGUCCUACGGGAGAAAGCAGGGGAUCUUCGGACCUUGCGCUAAUAGAUGAGCCUAAGUCGGAUUAGCUAGUUGGUGGGGUAAAGGCCUACCAAGGCGACGAUCUGUAGCGGGUCCGAGAGGAUGAUCCGCCACACUGGGACUGAGACACGGCCCAGACUCCUACGGGAGGCAGCAGUGGGGAACAUUGGACAAUGGGGGGAACCCUGAUCCAGCCGUGCCGCGUGUGUGAAGAAGGCCUUAUGGUUGUAAAGCACUUUAAGCGAGGAGGAGGCUACUGAGACUAAUACUCUUGGAUAGUGGACGUUACUCGCAGAAUAAGCACCGGCUAACUCUGUGCCAGCCGCCGCCGCAGUA